rnacentral:rRNA from 1 species
CCCCUAGAUGUUCUGGGCCGCACGCGCGCUACACUGAUGAAUUCAACGAGCUCCUAACCUAGGCCGAAGGGUCCGGGUAAUCUUUGAAAUUUCAUCGUGAUGGGGAUAGAUUAUUGCAAUUAUUAAUCUUCAACGAGGAAUUCCUAGUAAGCGCGAGUCAUCAGCUCGCGUUGAUUACGUCCCUGCCCUUUGUACACACCGCCCGUCGCUCCUACCGAUUGAAUGGUCCGGUGAAAUGUUCGGACCGCGACAAGGCGGACGGUUCGCUGUCAGCUUUGCUGCGGGAAGUUCAUUAAACCUUAUCAUUUAGAGGAAGGAGAAGUCGUAACA